ACCCCUGUAACUUAAUGGUAAAGAAACGACCUUAUAAGUCGUCAAAGUACACACCAAAUAAGCGUGUUUUGCGGGUUCAAGUCCUGUCAGGGGUACCA
rnacentral:tRNA from 1 species